rnacentral:rRNA from 1 species
UCGGGAAUUUUGGGCAAUGGGCGAAAGCCUGACCCAGCAAAGCCGCGUGAAGGAUGAAGUAUUUCGGUAUGUAAACUUCGAAAGAAUAGGAAGAAUAAAUGACGGUACUAUUUAUAAGGUCCGGCUAACUACGUGCCAGCAGCCGCGGUAAUACGUAGGGACCAAGCGUUGUUCGGAUUUACUGGGCGUAAAGGGCGCGUAGGCGGCAAUUCAAGUCAUCUGUGAAAUCUCCGGGCUUAACUCGGAACGGUCAGAUGAUACUGCUUUGCUAGAGUGCAGAAGGGGCAAUCGGAAUUCUUGGUGUAGCGGUGAAAUGCGUAGAUAUCAAGAGGAACACCUGAGGUGAAGACGGGUUGCUGGGCUGACACUGACGCUGAGGCGCGAAAGCCAGGGGAGCAAACGGGAUUAGAUACCCUAGUAGUCCCUGAGCGGGCUGGCAAGGCG